CCUACGGGAGGCUGCAGUGAGGAAUAUUGGUCAAUGGGCGCGAGCCUGAACCAGCCAAGUCGCGUGAGGGAAGACGGUCCUAUGGAUUGUAAACCUCUUUUGUCGGGGAGCAAAAGACGCCACGCGUGGCGUUCCGAGAGUACCCGAAGAAAAAGCAUCGGCUAACGCCGUGCAAUCCGCCGCGGUAAUACGGAGGAUGCGAGCGUUAUCCGGAUUUAUUGGGUUUAAGGGGUGCCCGGGCGGAAGUUAAAGUCAGCGGUAAAAUUGAGAGGCUCAACCUCGUCGAGCCGUUGAAACUGGUUUUCUUGAGUGGGCGAGAAGUAUGCGGAAUGCGUGGUGUAGCGGUGAAAUGCAUAGAUAUCACGCAGAACUCCGAUUGCGAAGGCAGCAUACCGGCGCUCAACUGACGCUCAUGCACGAAAGUGUGGGUAUCGAACAGGAUUAGAUACCCUGUAGUC
rnacentral:rRNA from 1 species